GAAAGAUUGUUGACACUAUCACACAUCGGUUGUAAAAACUUGGUUGCCAACAAGUCUGGAUCUAACAGUCACAUGAAUUUAUAAGUGCGAGUAAAAGCCUGUUAAUGAUCACUAAUAAGUUUAGACCUAACAAUCACAUGGAAAAGUUACAGAUUAUUCCUACUCCAACUCAAGUUGGAUGUGUGAGAAGGAAAUUAUUGAGGCUAUCGGGAAAGACUAACUUUUAAGAUCGAAAUUUGAAAGUAAAAGGCCAAAGGUCGUCGAGCAAAAUCUAGUAAAUGAGGGUAGGGAAAGCGAGC
rnacentral:lncRNA from 1 species